GAUGAAGAACGCAGCGAAAUGCGAUAAGUAAUGCGAAUUGCAGAAUUCCGUGAGUCAUCGAAUCUUUGAACGCACAUUGCGCCCUUUGGCAUUCCGAAGGGCAUGCCUGUUCGAGCGUCAUUUAUCAACCCUCAAGCCCGGCUUGCGGUUGGGUCCCGCCGUGGGCGACCACGGCGGACCCGAAAGGUAAUGGCGGUGCCCGUGGGGCCCUGGACGCAGCGAGCUUCUCGGCACGCGUCCCGGCGGUCCCCGGCGCCGUCUCCACCAAUCCACCACGCAGAUUGACCUCGGAUCAGGUAGGGAUACCCGCUGAACUUAAGCAUAUCAUAAGCGGAGGA
rnacentral:misc_RNA from 1 species